AGCUGCUGACAGGAUCUCUAUAUGUCUCACUCUCUCUCUCGUUCCCUCCCUCCCUGCUCCCUCCCAACCCACCUGUAACUCCGCCUUUCAGACGUAAGCAAAUCUUGAAAAAAAGACAACUUGUUCUCCUUCACAGGCAUGUCCAUUAGAAGAGCUACAGGAAGAUGCUCAACCCACACAGCUCUCCACGAUGACGGUAGAGAGGGCCUGGUGGCGGCUAAGGCGUCACCACAGCUGCAGAGCCCCCUGCAGCCCUGUCCGGCCUGGGGCAGCCACCCCACCCCCCAGGCCACCCUGCCCGGCCAGAUGGACAGUUCGGGACUUGCUCUUCCCUUCGGGGCCAUGGUGCUCUAACCACAUUAGCUGCAGGAUGGAUGGGUGACAGCCGUGGAUGGAUGGGCCACUGGAUGGACAGAGUGGCAGGAUUCGUCCUCCGUCCCCACGGGAGAUGUGGCAGUGAUUGAGGACACUCCUGUUGUGGCCUGAUGGGAGGGGGAUUGCUAGCAGCACCCCAGGAACGUGGUCCAGCAUCCUGGAGCACACAGGACUGCCCCGCCCCAGAUGUCAGCAGCUGAAGCUGAGCUAAGUCCCCAACCAGCACCAUCGUGUGGCCCUGACUUUGGAUGUGCCGACGGCCUGGGUGUGUUCAGUGUGAACUCAACACGUGCAGGUGACCUGCGUGGAGUUGGUGGCAGUACAAAAGUUGGACUUGGCCGGAGUCUGGAAGGAAGUGGGAACAUGGGAUUCCUAUGCCCCGACGGUAAGAACAGAAAUUGGAGCACCGAGUUUGCACAGUUCUCGGGCCUUGCCUUGCAGAUGUCAGGGUGUGACAAUCUUAUCUCAGUAAUUCCACUUCCAGGCUUCUUUGCUGCAGAGGCACUGUCGCUUGUGGGCACAGGGACAAGAGCUGUUGCCCCUGAGGUGUCCAUCUUGGCGAGCAUGAGCUACCGCGUCGUGUGGUCUUCACACAGUGGGUUGUUGCUGUGCAGGGGAAAGUGA
rnacentral:lncRNA from 1 species